AAGCCUGAAAUAAGUUGUGUUCUUCUACUUGUGUCUCUGUCAGCACAUAUUGAGCCAGUUUUUUAACUAGUAGAAGUUGGGUGGUGCUUUAUGGAAAUCAAUGGAAUGAUAUGUAGCACCUGUGAAUCAGGAGCUGGGCAUUCCCAAUUUUAAGCACCUGGCCCUUGGAGAAGACUGUCUUCAGUAUUUCUUCUGUUAGGUGCUGCUUAUAAAGGAGAUAGUAGUUUGAAGUCCAUUCCUAAUUCUACCUAAGCAUGUUGAGCAAGAUGCUGCCUAGAGCUAAUCAACAGGGAAAUACUGAAGACCAGAAUAAGUUUUGGGUCCUGUGCUACAGGCUUCUUGCUGAGAGCUGUAGAGAGAUUCUUUCGUUCACUCAGGUUACACAAUCCUGUCCUGAAGUGCAACUCUACUGGCAUCUGUAGAAUUACUUCUGAUUUCUGCUCCUGGAUUAGAGGUCAGAUGCAAAGAAACUUGAAAGAGCUUCACUUCUCAACAUGAAACACUAAUAGCCUCUAAGAACACCUAAGAUGAUUUGCUCAAGAUUAUUCAGUUAGACUGUACUCAAGAAAGGACUUAGGAAAGAAGAAAAAGGUGUAUCCUAAGGUGAAGCCUUGAGUUCUAGAAAAGGAAAGGUUAUUUUCUACUGGAUGCUAACUCAUUGGGUCAAAUGAAUCCAGUAGCCUUUUGCAGCUACAUUAGUGUUCAAGAAAGUGAAUAUACAUGAGAAAACACAGUAUUCAUGCUGAAUGAAUUGAGUAUUAUAGUAACAGCAUCAUCAGUUGUAGUAGCCUUCUUGAUCCUGAAAAAUAUCUAAAGAGUUUAAACUUUGGGCUGAAUUCAGAGACAGCAACUUUUAGCGGAGAAAUGCUGGUACAUCUACAGCUGGCCAAAGAAGGAGGAAAGAAACUGUUAUAGGAGUCAUGGAAAAAGAGAUGUACCUACAGUAAGAGAGCUCAGCCCUGGAGAAGAAUUGGAUUGGAGAAUCUGUGAGCUCUGCUGUCCAAAAAUCAUAUUGAUGCCAUUUUGAAUUAAAUAUUUAAAUUUUUGUUUGAAAACACAGAUCUUAAGCAUUCAUUUUUUCUCAAGGAAUAUCCAUUUUUUUUCUCAUUGGAAGCCCACAAUCUUUCCAAAAAUCACAGUGCCACUGACAAUUUAAGACUGCCAUUAAUUAAUUUUUCACAUUCAAAACUAGACAUUUUUUUGGUUAUAUUUGUGUUACAAGUUUUGAUCAGACCUGUGUGUCCAAAUAUGGCCCAAAUACACAGGGAUGUUUCACAUAUUAAUGAAGCAGAUACCAUUGGAUUAGAAUUUGACAACUUUUAAUGUGAAAGGAAGUAAGUAGUAUGUUUGCACAUUAAAAAUAUGGAGGGGAAUCUUAAUAGCCAGAAUAUAAUUAUUCAAGUUGGAACUUAGGCAGUACAUGCAGAGAUGGUAUGCCUAUUAGGCAUGAUUAGGACCAGAAUUUUACUUAUUAUGGUAAUUACUUUGUCUUUCUGGUGUUCACGAGAAUAUAAAAUCAUGUGUGAAAUAUUUUAAGAAUAUUAUUUUUUAAAAGAAAAGUGUAUUUUUACAGUGGUUAAGAAAUACUCCAUAUUCAGGAUAACGUAAAGAUGGAUUUCAAUAAUAUUGUUUGCAAAUAAGUAUUAGCCAUGUAAUAGAAUUAAAGCAUUAAAUAAGGUUCAUAAAGAAGAAUGAAAAUGAAAAAUAAGGCUAUCCUAAUUACCUUUGUCUGAACUGCAACAUUAAAUUUAUAGCAAUCAGUUAUUCUUUCACUUUUUCAUUGUUUGAUGAAAAAUCCUGAAGGAAAAUACUAUGGAGUCUUUAAUAAUUUUUAAUUUCAGAAUGCUAAUGAGGCGUCUAUCUGUUUCUUAGAGCUACUUGGUAGAGUUGUAAAUUAAAAAUGGCAGACAUUAGAAUCAUGAGAGCAAUCAUUCAUUAUAAUCCUCUUCUAAUGAAUCCUUUCUAAAAAGGAAAAUAAAAAUACUUACAAAACUGAUAUUAACAUCAGUUUUAGUGGACCA